AGAACGCCAUCACUGUCGGGUGUCAUUUUUAUAUGACCUAAUUCAUAAUGGAAUUUCCUCCUCGAGGCAACUUGGAGAGAUCAACAUUUGGAACUUGAUAAAAGGUUAGAUUCGGUCGACAUCUGCUUGGGUGUUUAGCUCUUUUUUUUGUGUGGAUUGCAAGGAGUUAGCUUCAGUUGAUUAGGUUUGGGCUAUGAAGUGCUAUGGAAAACAUUCUUCAAGUUGAUGCUACGAUUACGAUGAGAUGCAAAUUUCAAAUAGUGCGAGAUAUUUAUGAGAAGCUCGAUACAAAUUACGAAAACAAGCUUAGUGAGAGCUGCUUCGGAUCUCUCUUUAGGUUGAAUGAUAUAAGAUUGGCUUCGCAAGUUGUACAUCAAUUAUUAUUGUGAAAGAUAAAGACCAGCAAAAAAGAAGUUUGGUUUAGUAUAGGAGAGAAACAAGCAAGGUUUGGAUUUGAAGAAUUUGUUUUAGUUAUGGGCUUGAAUGUGAGUGAUGAUAACAACGUAGAUAAGACCUUGGGGGCAGAGUGUUAGAUCGUGAAAGAGUACUUUAAGUAAUGUGGGGGUAAGAUUACGAAGGGAGAUGCUUACAAUGCAUUUGUAAGUUGCAAGAAAAGAAAGAGCAAUAAGUAUAAGUUAAGUUUGAUUGUAAUCUUAGUGUACGACUUGUGGGCUACGGAGGAAAAUACCUAUAUCGAUUUAUGGUGGCUGGAUUGGUGGAUGAUCUCAACAGGUUCGAGACGUAUCCAUGAGGAAAGUUUUCUUUCAAAUACACAAGCAGUAUAUUCAAACAUGAAAUAAGAGGUAAAUUCAAAAGUUUGGACAUUGGAGGAGAGUCAAAUUGUUGAUAUUCGUUGCAUGGCAUUCUCCUCGCUAUAAUGGUAUAAACAAACAAUACACUUCACUUGUAUUAUUUUUUUAUAUAUCAAUUUGUGUCUUGAGAUAAUAAUGUUUGGGCAUUUGAAGCAAUUCCAACCUUGGGAAUAAAGGUCGUUACGAAAUAUCCAAAUGUAAUUCUAAGCAUGGUCAGUUGGGAAAUGUCGAAGAGGUUAGCAUCUACCGCCAUUGAUAACAUGUUGAAUUUGAAGGAGUUGGAGGUUAAUCCUACAUUAAUUUCCAUCGAAGUCGAACUCAAGGAGGCCUAUUGAAAAGAGUUGAAACCAAUCGUGGAAGAAGAUGAGAGUGCUUCACACCAUUCGAAUGAGACGAGGCUGACAUCAUGCAUUCCACCAACACUUUUUCUAAAGCAUCUUAACCACCAUUGUUUUCUCAUAAGAUGAAUAUAGUAGAUUUAUUGAGCACGAAAAUGGAAAAACUUGAGGGGAGGCUGCAAGCAAUCAUAUCAACUCGACUUGAUCAAGUGGAGAAAAAGGUUGACAGGUUAGUAGAAUUGGCUAUGGUGAGUCGAUUCCAUUCAACGACUAGUACAUUUGAUGGUGCCACUAUAGCAAAGCUUAUAUACCAUGACAUGAACCGAAGGGUGGGUUGGAAAAGGAGGCUGGAUUUGAUAAUGUGACGGACGUGCCUACAUAUGAAAGAAAGGUAGAAGAGCUUUAGGAGAACUUGAAGUUAGAAGAGGAAGUCAAAAAAAAUGGAGGGAAUGAACCUGAGGUUGGAUGUGGGAAUGAUAUGGAAGAGCAAGAAAAGGAAAAAAUGGUCGAAGAUGGUGUUGAAAAAGAAACAAUAGUAAAAAAGGACCAUCAUGACGUAGAGAAAUGCAUCGCUGAUUUUCGUGACGCUUGAGAAACAUAAGGUGAAUACGAAUAAAUCCAAUCAAGGUGACAGUGUAAAAAAUGAGGAGGUAGGAUGUGAUUCACCGAAAGGUCAAGGGUAUCGUCCAAAGAGAAAAGUACGCUUAUUGUAUUCUCCCUUCAUGAACUCGACAAAGAGGAGAAAGUUGUCAGAUAUCAAUGUAUAUGAUCCUUAUCGAGAAGUAGAUCCCGUAAAGGUUGAGGCUCUUUCCAAAUGGAUGGAAACUGCAUCUUCUCGGUAAAUAUUACAUAUAAUUGCAUGUACAUGUGAAAGUAAUGAUAUUAUUACAUAAAUAUAACUUUGUUAUGAUUUUUUUGUAUGUACAGUGAAGUUAUACUAUUGCACUUUUAUGAAGUUCAAGUAAAAAUUUUAAUCGACCUUUUGAAUGAGGAUAGUUGGAUUACUGGCAGCGUAAUUAAUCUAACUUUAAUGUUUUUACGAUAAUGUUACACAAGAGUUCAGUUUGUAUUAAUUAGUUUAUUUUUGCAUAUUAUGAAAGAGGCCCUAUAGUAGAUACGAGAAAGAGCUUUCAAAUUUUCCAAUCUAUUCCUGCAAGAUUGUUGCAUAUUGGAUACUUCUAUCAAUUUGUUUUCAGUGCACAUGGCAAGUUGCAGCUGAGUAAAGAGCUCUAUUUUUGUAAGAGUCUAAUCAAUUACAUGAAAGGGGCUAUUUCGAAGCUUGGUAAACCUUGGAAGGACUAUAGAUAUUUGUAUAUUCCUUGCUAUACUGGCAAUGAUUGGUUCGCAGUUCAAAUCGACUUAGAGGAACGAACAAUUUUUAUGCUUGAUAGUUUAAAGGGUCACAUUCUUAGAGCAGCAUUGGAAGCUUACUUUCUGCUUCUACAAGUGGUUAUUCUGUUGAUGAUAAAAUCCCAUGUCACGAGUGAAA